rnacentral:rRNA from 1 species
CUACGGGCGGCUGCAGUGGGGAAUAUUGCACAAUGGGCGCAAGCCUGAUGCAGCGACGCCGCGUGAGCAAAGAAGGUUCUCGGAUCGUAAAGCUCUGUCCUUUGGGAAGAAAAAAUGACGGUACCAAAGGAGGAAGCCCCGGCUAACUACGUGCCAGCAGCCGCGGUAAUACGUAGGGGGCGAGCGUUGUCCGGAAUCACUGGGCGUAAAGCGCGUGUAGGCGGAUUCGGAAGUCGGGUGUGAAAGCCCUGGGCUCAACCCAGGAAGUGCGCCCGAAACCACGAACCUAGAGAUCCGGAGGGGAUCGGGGAAUUCCCAGUGUAGAGGUGAAAUUCGUAGAUAUUGGGAAGAACACCGGCGGCGAAGGCGCCGAUCUGGACGGAUUCUGACGCUGAGACGCGAAAGCGUGGGUAGCAAACAGGAUUAGAUACCCUCGUAGUC